rnacentral:rRNA from 1 species
GAUGAACGCUGGCGGCGUGCCUAAUACAUGCAAGUCGAGCGAACAGACGAGGAGCUUGCUCCUCUGACGUUAGCGGCGGACGGGUGAGUAACACGUGGAUAACCUACCUAUAAGACUGGGAUAACUUCGGGAAACCGGAGCUAAUACCGGAUAAUAUAUUGAACCGCAUGGUUCAAUAGUGAAAGACGGUUUUGCUGUCACUUAUAGAUGGAUCCGCGCCGCAUUAGCUAGUUGGUAAGGUAACGGCUUACCAAGGCGACGAUGCGUAGCCGACCUGAGAGGGUGAUCGGCCACACUGGAACUGAGACACGGUCCAGACUCCUACGGGAGGCAGCAGUAGGGAAUCCUCCGCAAUGGGCGAAAGCCUGACGGAGCAACGCCGCGUGAGUGAUGAAGGUCUUCGGAUCGUAAAACGCUGUAAUUAGGGAAGAACAAAUGUGUAAGUAACUAUGCACGUCUUGACGGUACCUAAGCAGAAAGCCACGGCUAACUACGU